rnacentral:lncRNA from 1 species
GUGUUUUUGUUUUGCUAAAUUUUGUAUAUUGUUAUCAAGAAAUGAGAAGAUUGAUAGUGUUAUUAGUGUUCUUGUUUUGCUAAAUUUUGUAUAUUGUUAUCAAAAUGAGAAGAUUGAUAGUGUUUUAGUGUUCUUGUUUUGCUAAAUUUUGUAUAUUGUUAUCAAGAAAUGAGAAGUGAUAGUGUUAUUAGUGUUCUUUUUUGCUAAAUUUUUAUAUUUUAUCAAGAAAUGAGAAGAUUGAUAGUGUUAUUUAGUGUUCUUGUUUUGCUAAUUUUGUAUAUUGUUAUCAAGAAAUGAGAAGAUUGAUAGUGUUAUUAGUGUUUGUUUUGCUAAAUUUUGUAUAUUGUUUCAAAGAAAUGAGAAGAUUGAUAUGUUAUUAGUGUUCUUGUUUGCAAAUUUUAGUAUAUUGUUAUCAAGAAAUUAGAAGAUUGAUAGUGUUAUUAGUGUUCUUGUUUUUGCUAAAGUUUUGUAUAUUGUUAUCAAGGAAUGCGAGAAGCAUCGAUAGUGUUUAUUAGUGUUUGCUUGUUUUCUAAAUUUUGUAUAUUGUUUAUCCCAAGGAAAUGACGGAAAGCUCGAUAGUGUAUUAAGUGUUCUUGUUUUGCUGUUAUUUGUAUAGGUUCCUUAUCAACUGAAUGAGAAGAUUAGAUAGUGGUUAUUAGAGUGUUCUUGUCUUCUGACUAUUUUUGGUAUAUUGUUAUCAAUAGAAAUGAGAAGCUUGGAUAAGAUGUAUUAAUAGUGUCUGUUUGCGCUAUAUUUUGUAUAUUUGCUUAUCUAAAGAAUGAAGAAGAUUGUAGUGUGUAGUUAGUAGUUCUUUGUUUUGCUAACACUUUUGUAUCAGUUGCUUUAUCGAAGUAAAUGAGAAGAUAUUAAUAGUCGUUUUUAGUGUUCUUGUAUUUUGCUAAAUGGUGUAUAUUGUUGUCAGUGAAUGCGAGAAAGAUAUUGAAUAGUUGUGAUUAGUAGUUUUUGUUUUGCCUAAAUUAGUUGUAUAUUGGUUAUCCAAGAACUGAGAUUAGAUUGAUUUAGAGGUACGUAUUAAAGUAGUCUAGUUUUGCGUCUAAAUUUGUAUUAUAUGUUAUCAAGAAUGAGAAUGGAUUGCUAAGUGGUUUAUUAGUGGUUCUUGCUUUUAGCUAAAAUUAUUGUAUAUGUAGUUAUCAAGAGAAAUGAGAAAGAAUGAAUAGUGUUAUUAGUGUUCUGUGUUUUGCUAAUUUGUAUUAGGUUGUUAUCAAGAAAUGAGAGGUCGCGUAAGUGUUUUAUUACGUGGGUUGCUUGUUUGUCUAAAUUUGUGUAUAUUCCUUUAUCACAGUAUGUGUGUAUUGAGUUUGAGGUGUCGUUACUUCAGUUUUUGUCACACUAUUUUGAUAUGAUUCUAUCAAAGAAAAUGAGAAGAUUGAUGAGUGUAUCAUUAGUGUUCUGUGUUUGUUGCAUAAAUUUUGUUAUUGUAUUAUCAUAAGAAAAUGAAAGAUUUGAUAGUGUUUAUUAGUGUCGCUUUGUUUUUGCUAAAUUUGUAUAUUGUUAUCUAUAUAUAUAAGCGUAAAUACAGGAAGAGUUGAUACGUAGUAGUAGAUGUUAGUGUUCUUGUUUUGCUAAUUUUGUAAUAUUGUUAUCAAGAAUGAAGUAAGGUCGAUAGUGUUAUUAGUGUUCUUGUUUUGGCUAAAUUUGUAAUAUUCUUAUCAACGAAAUCGAGAAGAUUGAUAGUGUUAUAGUGUUUCUUGUUUUGCUUAAUUUUGUAUAUUCUUAUCAAGAAAUAGAAGAUUGAUAGUGUUUAUAUUAGUGGGUUUCUUGGUUUUGCUAAUUUUGUAUAUUGUUGUCCAAGCAAUGAGAAGAUUGAUACUGUUUAUUAGUGUCUUGUUAUGCUAAAAUUUUGUAUAGUUAUCAAAAGAAAUGAAGAAAGAUUGAUAGUGUUAUUAGUGUUCCUUGUUUGCUAAUUUGUAUAUUGUUAUCAAGAAAUGAGAAGAUCGAUUGGUUUUAAGUGUUCUUGUUUUGCUAAUUUGUAAAAUAUUGUUGCCAAGAAAGGAGAAGAUGAUAGUGUUUACUUAGUGUUCUUGUUUUGCUAAAUUGUGUAUAUUGUUUGUCAAGAAUGAGAAGCUUGAAUAGUGUAUUAGUGUUUUGUUUUGCUAAAUUUUGUAUAUUGUUCAUCAAGAAAUGAGAAGAUGUAAUAGUGUUAUUAGAUGUUCUUUGUUUUGCUAAAUUUUGUAUAUGUAUCAAAAAUGAGAAGAUUGAUAGUGUUUAUUCGUGUUUCUUUGUUUUGCUAAAUUUUGUAUAUUGUUAUCCAGAAAUGCGAAGAUUGGAUAGUGUUUUUAGUGUUAUUGUUUUGCUAAAUUUUGUAUAUAUGUUUAUCAAGAAAUGAGUAGGUCGAUAGUGUUAUUAGUGUUUCUUGUUUUGCUAAAUUUGUAUAUUCUUAUCAAGAAAUGAGAAGAUUGAUAGUGGUUAUUAAGUGUUCUUGUUUUGCUAUAUUUGUAUAUUGGUUUAUCAAGAAAUGAGAAGAUUGAUAGUGUUAUUGUGUUAUUGUUUUGCUUAAAUUUUGUAAUUGUUGUCCAGAAUGAGAAAGAUUGGAAUAAUGUUAUUAUGUUCUUGUUAUGCCUAAAUUUUGAUAUUGUUAUCAGAUAUACGAGAAGAUUGAUAGUGUUUUUUAGUGUUCUGUUUUGCUAAAUGUGUAUAUUGUUAGUCAGGAUGAGAAGAUUGAUAGUGGUUAUUAGUGUUUUUGUUGCUAAAAUUUUGUAUAUUGUUAUCAAGAAAUGAGAAGAUUGAUUGAUUUAUUGUGUUCUUGUUUGCUAAAUUUUGUAUAUUGUUUAUCAAGAAAUGAGAAGAUUGAUAGUGUUAUUAGUGUUCUGUUUUGCUAAAUUUGUAUAUUGUUAUCAGAAAUGAGAAGAUUGAUAGUGUUAUAGGUGUUCUUGUUUUGCUAAAUUUUGUUAUUGUUAUCAAGAAAUGAGAAAGGUCGAUAGGUUUUAUUAGAGUGUUCUUGUUUUGCUANNNNUAUUUGUUAUCAAGAAUGAGAAGAUUGAUAGUGUUAUUAGUGUUCUUGUUUUGCUAAAUUUUGUAUAUUGUUAUCAAGAAAUGAGAAGAUUGAUAGUGUGAUUAGUGUUCUUGUUUUGCUAAAUUUUGUAUAUUGUUAUCAAGAAUGAGAAGAUUGAUAGUGUUAUUAGUGUUCUUGUUUUGCUAAAUUUUGUAUAUUGUUAUCAAGAAAUGAGAAGAUUGAUAGUGUUAUUAGUGUUCUUUGUUUUGCUAAAUUUUUUAUAUUGUUAUCAAGAAAUGAGAAGAUUGAUAGUGUUAUUAGUGUUCUUGUUUGCUAAAUUUUGUAUAUUGUUAUCAAGAAAUGAGAAGAUUGAUAGUGUUUUUGUGUUUUGUUUUGCUAAAUUUUGUAUAUUGUUAUCAAGAAAUGAGAAGUUGAUAGUGUUAUUAGUGUUCUUGUUUUGCUAAAUUUUGUAUAUUGUUAUCAGAAAUAGGAAGUUGAUAGUGUUAUUAGUGUUCUUGUUAUCAAGAAACGUUUGACGCUGACCCUUUAGCAAAAUCUCUCAAAAAUGAAAGGCAUUGCCAUGGGGAAUUCUCCAUGGCUUCUUUCAGUCAAAUAAGGAAUGGAAGAUCACAACCAAGUCGAUGUAAGCCAUGACGCACUGUUCGUUUGAUAUUUAUGAUGGCUUCAAAAGGCCACACCACUGCUUCUAUAUCCGUACCACAUUUUAGGACUCUAUUAUGUGAGUUAUUUCUUUGCUUCUUUUUUCUUAGCAUCUUACGUAUAUGUUAUCAAGAAAUGAGAGAUUGAUAGUGUUAUUAGUGUUCUUGUUUGCUAAAUUUUGUAUAUUGUUAUCAAGAAAUGAGAAGAUUGAUAGUGUUAUUAGUGUUUUGUUUAAAUUUUGUAUAUUGUUAUCAAAAUGAGAAGAUUGAUAGUGUAUGUGUCUGUUUGCUAAAUUUUUAUAUUGUUAUCAAGAAAGAGAAGAUUAUAGUGUUAUUAGUGUUCUUUUUUUGCUAAUUUGUAUAUUGUUAUCAAGAAAUGAGAAGAUUGAUAGUGUUAUUAGUGUUCUUGUUUUGCUAAUUUGAUAUUGUUAUCAAGAAAUGGAAGAUUGAUAGUGUUUAUUGUCUUCUUGUUUUGCUAAAUUUUGUAUAUUGUUAUCAAGAAAGUAGAAAGAUUGAUAGUGUUAUUAGUGUUCUUGUUUUGCUAAAUUUGUAUAUUGUUAUCAAGAAAUGAGAAGAUGAUAGUGUUAUUAGUGUUCUUGUUUUGCUAAAUUUAUAUUGUUAUCAAGAAAUGAGAAGAUUGAUAGUGUUAUUAUGUUCUUGUUUUGAUAAUUUUGUAUAUUGUUAUCAAGAAAGAGAAGAUGAUAGUGUUAUUAGUGUUCUUGUUUUGCUAAAUUUUGUAUAUGUUAUCAAGAAUGAGAAGAUUGAUAGGGUUAUUAGUUUCUUGUUUGCUAAAUUUUGUAAAUUGUUAUCAAGAAAUGAGAAGAUUGAUGUGUUAUUAGUGUUCUGUUUUGCAAAUUUUGUAUAUUGUUAUCAAGAAAUGAGAAGGUUGAUAGUGUUAUUAGUGUUCUUGUUUUGCUAAAUUUUUAUUGUUAUCAAGAAAUGAGAAGAUUGAUAGUGUUAUUAGUGUUCUUAUCAAGAAACGUUUGACGCUGACCCUUUAGCAAAAUCUCUCAAAAUGAAAGGCAUGCCAUGGGGAAUUCUCCAUGGCUUCUUUCAGUCAAAAAGGAUAUGGAAGAUCACACAAGUCGAUGUAAGCCAUGACCACUGUUCGUUUGAAUUUAUGAUGGUUUUCAAAGGCCACACCAUUGCUCUUCCUAUAUUCGUACGCCAUCUUUAGGACUCUAUUAUGUGGUUAUUUCUUGCUUUUUUUCUUUAGCAUACAAUCUUAUAUUGUUAUAGAAAAAAGAAAGAUUGAUAGUGUUAUUAGUGUUCUUGUUUUCUAAAUUUUGUAUAUUGUUAUCAAGAAAUGAGAAGAUUGAUAGUGUUAUUAGUGUUCUUUUGUAAAUUUUGUAUAUUGUUAUCAAGAAAUGAGAAGAUUGAUAGUGUAUUAGUGUUCUUGUUUUGCUAAAUUUGUAUAUUGUUAUCAAGAAAGAGAAAUUGAUAGUGUUAUUAGUGUUCUUGUUUUGCUAAAUUUUGUAUAUUGUUAUCAAGAAUGAGAAGAUUGAUAGUGUUAUUAGUGUUCUUGUUUGUCUAAAUUUUGUAAUUGUUAUCAAGAAAUGAGAAGAUUGAUAGUGUUAUUAGUGUUCUUGUUUUGCUAAAUUUUGUAUUUGUUAUCAAGAAAUGAGAAGGUUGAUAGUGUUAUUAGUGUUCUUGUUUUGCUAUUUUGUAUAUUGUUAUCAAGAAAUGAGAAGAUUGAUAGUGUUAUUAGUGUUCUUAUCAAGAAACGUUUGACGCUGACCCUUUGAAAUCUCUCAAAAAUGAAAGGCAUUGCCAUGGGAAUUCUCCAUGGCUUUCUGUUCAGUCAAAAGGAUAUGGAAGAUCACAACCAAGUCGAUGUAAGCAUGACCCUGUUUUCGUUUAUUUAUGAUGGUUCAAAGGCACACCAGCUUCUAUAUUCGUACGCACAUCUUUAGGAUUAUUAGUGAGUUAUUUCUUUGCUUCUUUUUCUUAGCAUACUAAUCUGUAUAUUGUAUCAGAAAAAGAAGAUUGAUAGUGUUAUUAGUGUUUUGUUUUUCUAAAUUUUGUAUAUUGUUAUCAAGAAAUGAGAAGAUUGAUAGUGUUAUUAGUGUUCUUUUUUGCUAAAUUUUGUAUAUUGUUAUCAAGAAAUGAGAAGAUUGAUAGUGUAUUUAGUGUUCUUGUUUUGCUAAAUUUUGUAUAUUGUUAUCAAGAAAUGAGAAGAUUGAUAGUGUUAUUAGUGUUCUUGUUUUGCUAAAUUUUGUAUAUUGUUAUCAAGAAAUGAGAAGAUUGAUAGUGUUAUUAGUGUUCUUGUUUUGCUAAAUUUUAUAU